AAAUCUCAAAACGCAAAACGCAAACCUCAAAUCAGAAAUGCUAAAACCUCCAGCGACGGAUCCAAAACGCAUUGCAAAAUCUUUGAAGCAGUAGCACUCAGCUUGAAUCUGGCUUCAAUGAAGGUCGAUAAGAGCUGAAGAACUUGAUGGAAAUCGGAGAAUUUGCUUUGUCUCUGGUCGAGUUAUCGAAGAAGAAUAGCUAGCCCGUUAGCUUUCAAUGUGAACUAAUCGGUUGCCCAGAUGCGGGCAGACUAGAGAUUGAUAGAAGUUGUGUUGGAAUUAGAACAAGGGCUGGGAAGUUUUGGUUUGUUCGGACUACGCAACAUAAAGUUUGAUGCAGGAAAGUAUGGAUGUACAACGAAGGUGCUGGGUUUGAAAUUUAUGUCGUCAAGGCAUAAACAAACAAAGAGGAAUCCUUGUAAAAUGAAUAACACCAGCGAGUGCAGUAGCAGGAUUGGACGAUGACGAGUGCAGUAGCAGAACACGAGUACGAGGGCAGUAGCAGAACUGGACG